rnacentral:lncRNA from 1 species
AGAUAGAGGGAUGAAGGGCACUUUACUACUUUUUUAUGUUGCACGCAUCCAUGGCAGAAACACAGGAGGACAGAGUAUUUACAAGAGAAAGAUAAGAGAUCAGCCAGAAAAUCCCAGCUAUUAACCCCCCUCAUAGAACAAGAAGCAAUAAGCAUGAGGGUGUGACAUAUAUAGUACAUAUUGCUAUAUCUAUGUCUAUGUAUAUAUAUUAUAUAUCUAUAUUAUUUAUGAGAGGAGUUUAAUUAGUUUUCUGUGAGUAUGGUGAAAUGGGUCAUGCAUUUAGCAAGGCAGAAACUUUGAUUGGAGGCAAAAGCUCAGACCUUUACUAUCUUUUCUGAUUUUUCUUUUUCUUGAAAAAAGAUUUGUUCUUGUGGGUUUUCUUUGAGCAUUUCAUUUACUUGGUUUAGAGUUUUUUUGAAUAACAUUUGGGUGGUUGUUUUGGGAUUCUUGAAAUCUGGAGAGAGAUUGUGGGUUUUGUU